CUACAUCCUUCCUGGACUCAGCCAUUUUGCCAAGGAACACUACUAUCUUUUUCUAAGGAACUCCAGGGUUUUAGAUCAAGUGGUUGGGAGAAGGCUUGCUGAAAAGGUGGCUUCCACGUGGAGAGGACGUGGUGAGCUAGAGGACCCUAGAGGAGGAACAGCCUGUGCACAGGGGAAAGACCGAGAUGUGAGGCAAAGCUGAGCUGGCUGUACUGGAGGAACAGCAAAAGAAAGGCCAAAGCUGCUGGAGCAGAAAGAACCCUGGGCAGAGCGGUGGGAAGUGGCACAGAGAAGUUCCCAGAGACCUCAGGGCUGGGCCUCAGGUUGGUGUGAGGACCCCAUUGACUCUUACACUCUUCAAGGCUGAGAUAAUGCCAUGGGGCAAAGACAGCCAUGGAUGUAAUGAUUGCUCGAUCAAUAUUGAGUACUGCUGUUCCGUUAUCUCUAAUCUGCACAUAUGCAAACAGAAACACAGAGUCACCCCAUUGAACGCUCUGAUUCGCUGGCCUCUUGCUGCCCUCGAUAGGAUGAGUACCAGAUGGCCCAGCAAGCAUAUCCAGUUGCUCAUGUCUCCCAGGCUUCAGAAGCACACAGGGUUGGGUUUGGGAACUCAGACUUGCUUGUUCAUGCCCAGCUCUCGCCCAGCUGACUCUCUCCUCCCUUCCCCAGGUCACCUCCAAGUUUGAGCUCUACACUUGCCUCAGCCCCCUGGUAACCAAGGCUGCUGCCAUCUUAGUAGUGACGAAGCUCUUGCGCUGGGUAAGGAAGGAAGAGGACCGGCUUUUCAUCCGUUACCCACCCAAAUACUCCACACCCCCUUCCACCUCCUCGGACCAGGCCCCCAACAAUGGCCUGUUCACAGGACUCUGAAUGACUGCGGGAGUGACCACAUUUGGCUUCUACAUUCUGUGUCUACUCUGGAAAUGUGGGUAGAGGCCUGUGUGGGGCUGGUCCCCAUCUCCCUGGGCAGGUUGGCAAGAUGUCAGGGUUUGCCCACAAAUGGGAGAAGGGUAACAGCAGCCAGGGGCACAGGUUGCUUUUUGAACCCCCUCGUGCACCUCCACAUCUAGGAAAGCGGGACUCUUCCUCUGCCCUCUGCCUCACCUCCCUAACUAGCCUGAAUGCCUGUCACCAGCUGUCUCCGCCAGGCCUCUCUGAGCAGCACAAGUUGCUACCACAUCCAUCUUCCAAACAGACCUGAGGCUGGGCUGAGGCUGUCCUCAGGGUAGAGGUGGGUAACCCACAAGGGCUCUAGAAUUUGGAAUGCAGGCCUAGCCUGUGCUUGAAACCAGCCUAUGGGUGUUUAAAAACAUACAAAACAAAACAAAACAAAAACUGUACAGAAAGGGCCUAAAGCUGAAUCCCUCAAGACAUCCCUCUGUCCUUCAUGCCCCCCCCCCCAUCAUUUUUCCUUCCCCUACUUUAAAGCAAACAAAAAACCUCCAAACAGAUCCAAGCCCCACCAUGUUGGACUGUUUCUUACUCGCAUAAGAAGGUGGCAUCCCGCACCCAACUGUGUAAAACACCGCCUGACUUGUCCAUGGGCCAGGAUGCAGCUUUGUGAAGAUGCUCUUAGCCGCUAAAGCGAUUACUCACGAAAGGAUUUAACUUUCUUCUAAACCUUUUAGUGGACAUCUAUAAAGGGACAGGGGUUGGGAAUGCAUUGUGCUGCUGCCCAGCACGAACACGUUUGUCAGGAUAUUGGCCGCUUGCAGUAACGACCUAAAGAAGAGCCCUUGAAGAGCUCGUGCUCACAACCCACCUCAACUGCUCACUACCUAUUCCAGCCUGUUUUAGAGACAGAGCCGUGUGGUUGCGCGCGCAUGCGUGAAAACGCAACCUAGCGUUUGCUCCAAGCAGAUCCCUGUGUCACCCUAACCCCUGGUUUCCUACAAUGUCUGCAGUGGCGCGCGCUGCCGUUCCCUGCUGUUUCUUUUCCGAGGCACAUGCGCACAUACCUCACGCUGGGAAAUGGCUGCGGAACUGGAGCCUUUGAAGGCGGAGUGGCUGGGAGCUGAGAAAGCUGAAGACACCGGAGGUAGUGAGGGCGGACAGGGUAGAUGGGACAGAGGCUUCGGCUCAUGAUAAUAAUUGAGAAUUUUUUAGAAAAAAAAGUUUUUAGCCUAUUGAAACUUGUAACUUCCACAAAGUGGAAAUAAAGAACAUGCGUGUUCUCAUCACCUAAGUUAA
rnacentral:lncRNA from 1 species